rnacentral:lncRNA from 1 species
UCUCUCUUGCUUUCGGAAUGUUCACCCCGUCUGUCUCCCGGCUCUGGCGCCUUCUUACCCUUACCAAACCGGAUGCAGGCACUCUCCCCUCACCUGCCUUCCCGGUCCCUCCCUUCCAGCUCCGGGGUCGUUGCCUCCAACAUCUUUCUCUGGAGUUUUAGGGGCCCGAGUUUCUGCUUCGUCUCUGUCCCGUGGUUGAGCAAGUCCGACGGGGGCUGCUGCAUUAGGUCCUUAGCACGUUCUCUGGCUACCGUGGCGGGCGUCUUCCUCCCGGUUCCGAGGCCCAGGACGGGCCCUGUCCGUGCGUCUGAGCCACUGGGACUUGCACGCGGUUUUCAGGCGGGCCACCCUGCCGGGCCGCACCAGGUGAGUCUCUGGGGUUGUCUUCACCUCAGGAGCCCCGUCCUGGGGUGCAGGCUCCGUAACGACGCCUUCCGGGGAGCACUCGCGCGUUCCUGGCGUCGGGCGGUCACUCCACCGUGGCCUUCGGCACAGCGCCCAGCGAGAACCCUACAGGGCUCCCGCCCACGCCCACGGAGCCCAGCUCCUCGGUACCGACGGCAGGGAGCGUUCCUCCCACGCGGGGCCCGUCUCUGGAAUGGCCUGCACUCCGGAGGGCGUCCCAGGCGCGAGCCCGACUGCCCCAGCGGGCUGGGUUCACUGAUAUGGAUCUGCGUCGCCACAA